GUGAAUCAUCGAAUCUUUGAACGCACCUUGCGCUCCCUGGUAUUCCUAGGAGCAUGCCUGUUUGAGUGUCAUGAAUUCCUCAAACCCCAAUGUUUUGCAAAAUUCAUUGCUUGGGUUUGGUUGUGGGCCUAUAUUGCUGCUUCACGGCAGCUGGCCUUAAAGAUAUUAGCUGGACUCUCCGAGACUCUUGGAUAGUUCCACUUGAUGUGAUAAAUUUGCAUCGGUGGGUCAAGACUAUGCUUGGGAAGUGUGAGAAGUCUGCUUCUAAUCCGGCAAGAGGUUCCAUCCUCGACCCAAUUCAUUUACAACUCUGGCCUCAAAUCAGGUAGGACUACCCGCUGAACUUAA
rnacentral:rRNA from 1 species